UACGUAGGGGGCAAGCGUUGUCCGGAAUCAUUGGGCGUAAAGCGCGCGUAGGCGGCCCGGUAAGUCCGCUCUGAAAGUCCAGGGCUUAACCCUGGAAAGCGGGUGGAUACUGCCGGGCUUGAAUCCGGAAGAGGCGAGUGGAAUUCCUGGUGUAGCGGUGGAAUGCGCAGAUAUCAGGAGGAACACCAAUAGCGAAAGCAGCUUUCUGGGACGGUACUGACGCUGAGACGCGAAAGCGUGGGGAGCGAACAGG
rnacentral:rRNA from 1 species